rnacentral:lncRNA from 1 species
GUAAAGAAAAUGUGUAUACUGAUUAAUUUCCCCUUACCAUCUAGAUACAAGAGCAGGGAGGCAUGCAAUAACGUGGAAGAAAAUUCAAAGUCUACCUCAUCGAAAGAAAUCAUUCUUUAGUAGGCUGAAAGUGACUACAGGAACUCUCAGGCAUGGGGGGGGGGGGCGGAUAAGGAGAAAUAUUCACAGGCACAGAGAAAAGUUAGAUCAUAUAAAACACAAAGUAGUGAAACUUGAGGUCAGUCAGCAGCCCCUGAAGCAUUCAAAGGCAUAGCUAUAGGCUAUAGGCAAAUAUUCCAAGGAAAUCAAGGCACCCUGGGAAUGCAUUCUAGAAGAAAGGAUUAACAGAUGCAAGAUGCAGAAAGCUAAACUCAAAUUUAACUGGAAUGCAAAUCCUUCUUUUACCUUAAUCAUGAAAUGAAGAUACACAUAUCAGUGAAUAGAUGAAAUGAGAGGGGUGUAUGUGUAAGAUACUUGUAAUAUAUAUUUUACAAAUAAGAAAGGCUGUCUAGUUAACAGGGCAAAUCUAUUUGAAAUGUUCACAUCUAAGUUCUCAUCAGAGCUGAAAUAUUUUUUUAAGUAAACUCUACCUCCAAUACGGAGCUCAAACUGACAAUCCUGAAAUAGUUACAUGUUAUACCGACUGAGCCGGUCAGGCAUCCCUGAGCUGAAAUAUUUCUAAUAAGGAAGUGAAAUAUAUUAUAUCAUAGUUUACAUUUAAAUAAAUAUUAGCACUUGGAUCAUAACACAUGUACAACUGACCAAAGUACUGAAAAUAUUGUAACAACCAAUAAAGAAUACUCAACCAGAAAAAGACCAUAUAGGGCUUUUUCAGACUUAUGCCUAUUCUUUAAAAGUCAAAGAGGAAGAUUAGGCAGCUACAUUGAGCCCCAAGACACCAGAACAUAGAGAAUAUAUAUAGUUCACUAUAAACUCUAGGGCUUCCAACCAUCAGGCUCUUUUAGAUUUAAGUCUUAAAUAACUAAAAACUAUUUUAAACAUCCAUUUUUACAAAUGUUGAAAUGCAAAUGAACUCUAUAAAGAGAAAAGUAUUCAUAUGUGAAAUCCCAAAGUAUGGGACAGCAAGAGAAACAUCACUCACAACUCUCCAAGUCAAAACAUGAAAAGAGAUGAAUUUACUAACUUGGAAUUACCUUUUUGAAUUAAAAGAAAAAAAGAAAAAGCCACUCAGAGGGUCUAGUGACCUAGCUGAAAGUAGGACACCAUCAAGCUAAUUCUUAAAGUACGAACAUUUUAUACUUCAGUACUCAAAUUCUCUUGGGUUAGAGUGAGGUCUCUGAAAAACAGCUCCCUUCAGCAAAUGACUAAAAGAUAAACCGUAUCAACACUCUAUGAGAACAUCUUGACUUGUUAAGAAUAAAAAUGGACUGUAUACAAAGAUAAACUGUGGUAACUUUACAUAAUGGAAUACAUAAUGGAAUAGCAAUGAAAAUAAAUCACAAUAUCAAGUAACAUGGAGGUUACAAACACAAAACUGAGUAAAAAGAAAGCAAAAAAAAUCUAUAUAGUGAUUUUGUUCAUAUAAAGUGCAAAAACAAACCAGAGUAAAUUACAUUGUUUGGGGAAGUACAAAUAGCUAGUAAAGCUAUACUUAAAAAAAAGUAGGGGGCACUUGGGUGGCCCAGUCAGUUAAGUAUCUGCCUUCAGCUCAGGUCAUGAUCCCAGGGUCCUGGGAUAGAGCCCUGCAUCAGGCUCCCUGCUCAGCGGACAGCCUGCUUCCCCUCUCUCCUUCUGCCCCUCUCCCUGCUGGUACACUCCCUCUCAAAUAAAUAAAAAUCUUAAAAUUUAAGAAAAAAAAAAAAAGGAAAAGAAAGAAUACAAUUACAUCAAGAACAGUUAGAUACCUAGGAAUAAACCUAAUCAAAGAGGUAAAGACCUAUACCCUGAAUACAUAACACUGAUGAAAGAAAUUAAAGAUGACACAAAGAAACAAAAAGACAUUCCAUUCCAUACUCAUAGACUAGAAGAACAAAUAUUGUUAAAAUGUCCAUACUAGGGCAGCCCGGGUGGCUCGGCGGUUUAGUGCCGCCUUCGGCCCAGAGCCUGAUCCUGGAGACCCAGGAUCAAGUCCCGCAUCGGGCUCCCUGCAUGGAGCCUGCUUCUCCCUCUGCCUGUGUCUCUGCGCCUGUGUGUGUGUGUGUGUGUGUGUGUGUGUGUGUGAGAAUGAAUGAAUAAAAAUCUUUUAAAUAAAUAAAUAAAUAAACAAAUAAAUAAAUAAAUGAAAUGUCCAUACUACCCAAAGCAAUCUACACAUUUAUGCAAUCCCUGCCAAAAUAACAUUUUUCAUAGAGCUAAAACAAGCAAUCCUAAAAUGUUUAUGGAACCUGAAAAAAAAACAAAAGAAAAGCAAAGCUGGAAGCAUCACAAUUCCACACUUCAAGUUAUAUUACAAAGCUGUAGUCAUUGAGACAGUAUGGUACUGGCACAAAAAUAGAACACAGAUUAACGGAACAGAAUAGAAAACCCAGAAAUGAACCCACAAUUAUAUGGUCAAUUAAUCUUCAAUAAAGCAAGAAAGAAUAUGUAAUGGGAAAAAGACUAUCUCUUCAACAAAUGGUGUUGGGAAAAUUGGACAGCUACAAGCAAAAGAAUGAAACUGGAUCACUUUUUUUUUUUUUUUUUUUUUUAAGAUUUUACUUAUCAGGAGAGACACAGAGAGAGAGAGAGAGAGAGGCAGAGACACAGGCAGAGGAAGAAGCAGGCUCCAUGCAGGGAGCCCAAUGCGGGACUCAAUCUGGGGACUCCAGGAUCACAACCUGAGCCAAACAAAGGCAGGCGCUCAACCACUGAGCCACCUAGGCGUCCUGAAACUAGAUCACUUUCCUACACUAUAUAUAUACAAAAACAAAAAUGGAUUAAACACCUAAAGAUGAGACC